AGUGAACGCUGGCGGUAGGCCUAACACAUGCAAGUCGAACGGCAGCACAGUAAGAGCUUGCUCUUACGGGUGGCGAGUGGCGGACGGGUGAGGAAUACAUCGGAAUCUACUUUUUCGUGGGGGAUAACGUAGGGAAACUUACGCUAAUACCGCAUACGACCUACGGGUGAAAGCAGGGGAUCUUCGGACCUUGCGCGAUUGAAUGAGCCGAUGUCGGAUUAGCUAGUUGGCGGGGUAAAGGCCCACCAAGGCGGCGAUCGGUAGCCGGUCUGAGAGGGUGGAGGGCCACACGGGGACUGAGCGACGGACCAGACUCCUACGGGAGGCAGCAGUGGGGAAUAUUGUACAAUGGGCGGAAGGCUGAUGAAGCAACGCCGCGUGAGGGAUGACGGCCUUCGGGUUGUAAACAGCUUUCGCCUGUGACGAAGCGUGAGUGACGGUAAUGGGUAAAGAAGCACCGGCUAACUACGUG
rnacentral:rRNA from 1 species